UAGAUGCGAGAGUAGAGCAUAUCAAUAAGCGGAGGAAAAGAAACUAACAAGGAUUCCCUUAGUAACGGCGAGUGAAGCGGGAAGAGCUCAAAUUUGAAAUCUUCAAGGUUCUACCUUGACGAAUUGUAGUUUAUAGAAGUGUUUUCUGUUAGUAGAGUGGCAAAAGUUCUUUGGAAUAGGACAUCAUAGAGGGUGAGAAUCCCGUAUUUGGUCAUUCCUCCUAGCUUUGUGAUACACUUUCAACGAGUCGGAUUGUUUGGGAAUGCAGUCCAAAAUGGGUGGUAAAUUUCAUCUAAAGCUAAAUAUUGGAGAGAGACCGAUAGCGAACAAGUACCGUGAGGGAAAGAUGAAAAGAACUUUGAAAAGAGAGUUAAACAGUACGUGAAAUUGUCAAGAGGGAAGCGUUUGACACCAGUGUUGUUUUUCGAAAAUCAAUUACGAAUGUUUUAUUUUUGAGGAGUUAUGACUUCAUCGGCUUGCUCCUUUCUUUAUGGAACUUUCUUAAUGCACUUUUCGGUUAACAAGUCAACAUCAAUUUCUUUUGUUGUAAAAGGGUAUGAGGAAGGUGGCUUUCUUUUCGGAGAAAGUGUUUAUAGCCUUGUGCCUCUGCAAUCGGAGAGAUUGAGGUCUGCAGCGUAGAUCCUUCGGGGUUAGAUACAGUUUGUGCUAAGUUAUAGCUUUUCAUAGACAACUUGUUGACUAUGAUUAGUCAUUGUAGCUUACUCGCUUAUGCUCAUUUUACCUACGCUUAGGAUGUUGACGAGACUGUCGAUCUC
rnacentral:rRNA from 1 species